rnacentral:misc_RNA from 1 species
UUGAAAUCCUUUGGAUGUUGCUGGCCUUCUUUUGGGGGCAUGUGCACUCCGCCUUUCAAUUCACCUGUGAACUCAUUGUAGGCUCAGAUGUAACAAUCUGUGUCUAUGUUUUUUAUAACACCCCUUUAAAAAGUUUAAACAGAAUGUUUAAAUAGGCCUUUGAUGGCUGAAAUAUACAUAAUA